rnacentral:rRNA from 1 species
UACGUAGGGGGCAAGCGUUGUCCGGAUUUAUUGGGCGUAAAGAGCGUGUAGGCGGCCAGACAGGUCCGUUGUGAAAACUCGAGGCUCAACCUCGAGAUGUCGAUGGAACCGUCUGGCUAGAGUCCGGAAGAGGAGUGUGGAAUUCCUGGUGUAGGCGGUGAAAUGCGGCAGAUAUCAGGAAGAACACCUAUGGCGAAGGCAGCACUCUGGACGGUACUGACGGCUGAGACGCGAAAGCGUGGGGAGCGAACAGGAUAGAAACCCCGGUAGGUACCGAAGACC